UACGGAGGGUGCGAGCGUUGUCCGGAAUCACUGGGCGUAAAGGGCGCGUAGGUGGCCUGUGGAAGUCUGCGGUGAAAGCCCGGCGCUCAACGCCGGGUCGGCCGUGGAUACUCUCGGGCUCGAGCUUACUAGAGGCAGAUGGAAUUCCGGGUGUAGCGGUGGAAUGCGUAGAGAUCCGGAAGAACAUCAGUGGCGAAGGCGGUCGUGCUGGGCCGUUGCUGACGCUGAGGCGCGACAGCGUGGGGAGCAAACAGG
rnacentral:rRNA from 1 species